rnacentral:lncRNA from 1 species
CCCAGGUUUUUCUAGGUGUGAUGGCAGAGGAGAGCUUUAGGAGGUGCUUUGAAGGACAUAGAGUAGCUCUGUGCUGGCAAUGACAGAUUUCACUUUCAAAACAUGAAGAAGACAGAAAGGUGUAUGAAACACCAAGAAAGCUGGUAGGGGAUUUAUUAUGAGCUGCUGCCUUCAGAAGAACAGAGGACUGUGGCAUGCAGUCAUGGUGAGAGAGGAGGAAGAGUCUGCCAGCCUGAUGGAAAAAUCCUACAAAUAGUAGGAAAACUUAAAGGAUAAAGGCCUUAGAUUGGAGCAUGAAGAUUCAAAUCUAAAAUACUUGAAUAUAAGCUAUAAAGAACAAGGUUGCAGAAAGAGGGAGCUUUCUGAACUUGGAGAAGGCUGGUAAACAGGAGUUUGACAGCCAAACUUUGGUGCCCCCCACAUCGAGGGAAUAGGGACUGUAUUGCAUGGAUGCAUUCCAGUUGGAGGAGGGCUUUGCUAUGCGGAGAUGCUCUCGGGUCAGGUGAAGACAGCAGGAUUCUUGCAAACCAGAUAGAGAGACAAGAAAUCACAGCAUUAAAAGAAGGAGGCAGCAAGGAUUCUCCCUCCUGCAACAAUUCUUCAUCCACAGGAGCUUCUGUAAGUGCUGUUUUGUGUCUCCCCUCAGCUUCCCAGAGCUGUCAUACAGUUCAAACUGUCCUUAGCACAACUGGGUUGAAGUGAGAUUUUAAUUAAUCCAGUGGAAUCAGGAAGAGGGCUUGAGCACGGCUACGGUGCAAGAUACACUUGAGAGAAUUUUUUACUGUGUCUGAACCAAUCUUGAGUUAAUCCUGAAGCUAAUUUGAGAUCAAAAGCACAGAGACUGUUUGAAAUCUUAUCUGAAUCAGACUGCCAGAUCAUUUGAGGCAAACAUUAAAUAAGAUUGCUUCAAUUACUCCAAUCAGUCAAUCUUGGUAACUAAGAUUGAGUUCUUCAUUUCAGAGGCUGAUCAACUACUAUGAGAUUCAGGUAAUAAAUGGGAUAAAUCAACUGGCA